UUCAAUCUUUGCAGAUAUUUUUUGAGCUCUUGGCCAAGGGUGGAACUGUCUAAGGGAUGAUAAAAGUUAGGCAAAUACAGAGAAAAAACAUAUUUUAAUGUUCUGUGAGCCAUUUUGAAUGUUUAAUGGCAACAUAUUUCUCUUCGAUUGUAAUUUUUUUUUGUUCAAGUAAAACUUUGACUAUUUUUAAAAAUUAUAUGGUUUCGAGGAACCAAUAUUUUGAUAUUAUAGAAAACUAAAAGAAACAAAGGUUUCAAUAAAAUUUUCAAAAAAAGGUUUAAAACUAAUUUUGCUUUGUUUUUACGGGUUUGUGGUUGACGAGUGACGACCGUGGACUUAUUUUUUUAAACUUGGUGAAUCUCUCUUAUUUAAAUAGAAACAUUGUUUGGAAUAAAUUUUACUCCAUCCAAGCAUAUCUGUUAACCUCCAUCACCUUAGGUUAUUCAUAAUAAUGAAAGAUAAUUUACAUUUACUGAUUCAGCCUCUUUUUGUGCUGUUGGUGAUGCUGUGAUCAUGCAGUUUGUGAAUGGAACUGGGAAACACGUAGGAAUCAGAGUGGACUACUCAACUGCUGCCUGGUUAAACACGUAAGUUUAUUUAAAUGAAGUAACAUUGUAUUGUCUGAUAAAACAUCAAAGCCAUUUGUGGCUGUUACCUGAAUGAAGGUAGCUAGGAAUAGAGCAUACACAGUCGAUUCAGAAAAUUAUCUAACCAAACCAUUUGUUUCUAUGUACGUCGGUGUAGCCUAUUUGCUUUGGUUAUCCGAAUAUGAAAGACUGGUAAGCCUUCCACUUUUAAAAUAUAUCAAUCUUAUUUAGUGGUCUCAUGCAUUUGUAUAAUUGUAUUUGUUCAAACUAUGCUCAGGGAGAGAAGUAAUCAGUUCAUUGUCCAAGCUUAUAUAAAAGGUCUUGACUACAUCGAUCU
rnacentral:lncRNA from 1 species